UAUCCAAGGUCUUUCUUGUCAGGAAGGUAGAAACCAGGGAAGGGGAUCUGCCAACAUCCAGUUUCACAUCUUUGAGAGUUCUAGAAUUGGCCUUUGAGCUGGUUGCUGGUUAGGUUCUAAACUACUCUGGAACCCUCCAGUGCCGUCGCCAGAGCAACCCAUUCGAAACAUCACCAGCUUCUUCAUUUCUCAGAUCAGGACUAAAGCAGAAGGAUCUCUGAAGAUCUUCCUGUCUUCUCUGGUCUGAGAUCACUCUGCUGGAAAAGCCUUUCCUUCUUCCUGAAGGGAUUAUUGAUGCCAACCUGCAUCAUGGACAAGCAGUCCAUGGAGAGAUCUGGGUGGAGAGAGAAGAAGGACCUCAUCGCCAAGUGGUUUCGAGUCCCCUAUUAUCAGUCACUGGGGUUCCUCCUUGCCGUUGUCGGCUGGGUCUUUUGCAUUUUGGGCUGAAAAAGCCAACAAUGGCAAAUCUGGCAGGUGGAAAACUUCCUAGGUAUCCAAGUGGUUAAGAUUGGAUUAUGGAAAGUCCGUUUUCAGCACCAUGCUCUUGAUGACCAAUAUGUCAACACACAUUGCGUAGAAUUCAGCAAACUAGAGAAUUCCAUCCCAACUGGAAUGGUGGUGGCUCAGUUUUUGAUGACCCUCUCAGUUGUCUUACAGACAGCAGCUCUGGCUUUCAUCUCAUAUUGUUUCUGGUUUUCUCCACCAAAGAAGCCAGAGACAGGAAUCUUCAAUCCUCUCUCCUGUGUGGGCAUCCUUCUUAAUCUCCUCUCUGUCUUCAUCACUACCAUUCCCCUAUCCUGGAAUGGUUCAUCCAGCUUGGCAAAAGAGGGGAAUCAGUUCCUGAAGAGCUUGAAUUUGCUGCCUAACCCUCAGGACUAGCACUUUCAUGGGGGUCAUGACACCUUAAUCCCUGUAAAUAUAUACUUCAAAAACCAGUGUUAACCAUUUUAAA